GAGCUCUUCUGCGGUAGGAUGGAUGUCCCGUUGCUGAAUCCAGAGUAACGCUUUCUUUCCUUCGGAAGAGCAGGAAGACGUGCGAAAUCUCUCAUCCUUCCCAUCAACCACCACCUCUACGAUCUGGUGUUUGAAACAGGGACCAAAAUGUCAACCUCUGUCUGCUGAACAAGAAACACCAUUUCAAGAAACCCUCCAAGAAUAUGGAAGAUGACGGCGCAGAAAAUGUCGUCAACCCCAAAGCAUUGGUUUGUUUUCUUCCUGUUCUUUGUGGAGCGAAACAAGUUGGUUUUGUGGCGUUAUUAUUCUUGCAUGAGAGGAAGUGGGUACGUAUUUCCUUUACUUGGUGAUAUAAUCACUUAUAUUUUCCCUUAUGUUGUGGGAUGGUGACCAAAUAAAACUAUACGUAAAAACCCUCA